GCUCUCCCAUAUGGUCGACCUGCAGGCGGCCGCGAAUUCACUAGUGAUUCGUAUUACCGCGGCUGCUGGCACAGAGUUAGCCGGUGCUUAUUCUGUCGGUAACGUCAAAACACUAACGUAUUAGGUUAAUGUCCUUCCUCCCAACUUAAAGUGCUUUACAAUCCGAAGACCUUCUUCACACACGCGGCAUGGCUGGAUCAGGCUUUCGCCCAUCGUCCAAUAUUCCCCACUGCUGCCUCCCGUAGGAGUCUGGACCGUGUCUCAGUUCCAGUGUGACUGAUCAUCCUCUCAGACCAGUUACGGAUCGUCGCCUUGGUGAGCCAUUACCCCACCAACUAGCUAAUCCGACCUAGGCUCAUCUGAUAGCGCAAGGCCCGAAGGUCCCCUGCUUUCUCCCGUAGGACGUAUGCGGUAUUAGCGUCCGUUUCCGAGCGUUAUCCCCCACUACCAGGCAGAUUCCUAGGCAUUACUCACCCGUCCGCCGCUCUCAAGAGGUGCAAGCACCUCUCUACCGCUCGACUUGCAUGUGUUAGGCCUGCCGCCAGCGUUCAAUCUGAGCCAGGAUCAAACUCUAAUCGAAUUCCCGCGGCCGC
rnacentral:rRNA from 1 species